rnacentral:rRNA from 1 species
AUGAAAAUAAGUGGAUGGAAAGAAAAAUUGUUAUUUGUUGGAGGAAAGGAAAUAUUGCUCAAAUCUGUUGUACAAGCUAUCCCAGCUUACGCCAUGUCCGUCUUUAAAAUUCCUAAAAAAAAUUGUAAAGGAAUUAUUGACGCGAUGUCGCAAUUUUGGUGGGGUGACGAGGACAACAAGAAGAGAAUGCAUUGGAUGGCAUGGUGGAAGAUGUGUGUACCAAAAAAUCAAGGAGGUAUGGGUUUUAGAGAUAUACAUUGUUUCAACCUGGCUUUGUUAGCCAAACAGGCAUGGCGCCUGAUUGAUAAUCCUGAGUCCUUAUGUGCAUCGAUCUUGAGGGCUAAAUAUUUCCCGGAAGGGGAUUUA